rnacentral:rRNA from 1 species
UACGUAGGGACCAAGCGUUGUUCGGAUUUACUGGGCGUAAAGGGCUCGUAGGCGGCCAACUAAGUCAGACGUGAAAUCCCUCAGCUUAACUGGGGAACUGCGUCUGAUACUGGAUGGCUUGGAUUCGGGAGAGGGAUGCGGAAUUCCAGGUGUAGCGGUGAAAUGCGUAGAUAUCUGGAGGAACACCGGUGGCGAAGGCGGCAUCCUGGACCGAUAUUGACGCUGAGGAGCGAAAGCCAGGGGAGCAAACGGG